GAUGAACGCUGGCGGCAUGCCUUACACAUGCAAGUCGAACGGUAACAGGUCUUCGGAUGCUGACGAGUGGCGAACGGGUGAGUAAUACAUUGGAACGUGCCUAGUAGUGGGGGAUAACUACUCGAAAGAGUGGCUAAUACCGCAUGAGAUCUACGGAUGAAAGCAGGGGAUCGCAAGACCUUGUGCUACUAGAGCGGCUGAUGGCAGAUUAGGUAGUUGGUGGGAUAAAAGCUUACCAAGCCGACGAUCUGUAGCUGGUCUGAGAGGACGAUCAGCCACACUGGAACUGAGACACGGCCCAA
rnacentral:rRNA from 1 species